AACGAACGCUGGCGGCAUGCCUAACACAUGCAAGUCGAACGAGACCUUCGGGUCUAGUGGCGCACGGGUGCGUAACGCGUGGGAACCUGCCCUUAGGUUCGGAAUAACUCCCCGAAAGGGGUGCUAAUACCGGAUAAUGUCUUCGGACCAAAGAUUUAUCGCCUUUGGAUGGGCCCGCGUUGGAUUAGCUAGUUGGUAGGGUAAAAGCCUACCAAGGCGACGAUCCAUAGCUGGUCUGAGGGGAUGAUCAGCCACACUGGGACUGAGACACGGCCCAGACUCCUACGGGAGGCAGCAGUGGGGAAUAUUGGACAAUGGGCGAAAGCCUGAUCCAGCAAUGCCGCGUGAGUGAUGAAGGCCUUAGGGUUGUAAAGCUCUUUUACCCGGGAUGAUAAUGACAGUAUCGGGAGAAUAAGCUCCGGCUAACUCCGUG
rnacentral:rRNA from 1 species